GACGAACGCUGGCGGCGUGCUUAACACAUGCAAGUCAGGGGUGGGCGACCACUCACCGGCGAACGGGUGCGUAACACGUGAGCGACCUGCCCUGGUGUGGGGGAGUAGCCGGCCCAACGGCCGGGUAAUACCGCAUACGACUUUCUUGGAGGCGAUCUCCGGGGAGGUGAAGCCACUUUGGGCACCCAGGAGGGGGCGUCGCGGCCUAUCAGCUAGUUGGCGGAGGUAACGGCUCACCAAGGCGACG
rnacentral:rRNA from 1 species